AUACAAUUUCUUAAAAAAAAAAAGUCCAAGUAUAAAUUUUAUUAAGGGUAGUUGUUUAAGGCUGCGUUGAUUCGGAUAUAACUAAGAAUUGCUUAUUCUAGAGAUAGGUACUAGUUCAGGUAUAAUCAGAAACUACACCAAUUUUGCAUUUGAAUAAAAAUUAAUUUGUUCCUAGGAAUAAGAUAAAUAAUGUUUGGAUGGUUAGAUUGAAAAAAAGAAAAUAAGAGUUAUAAUUUUAAAUUAAAAUUAUUUUAUCUAAUUAAUUAACAUCAAAAUAUUAUUUAAAAAUAAUUUAAUAAAUUAAUAAAUUUAUUAGAUAUGAAUAUUGUAUAAGAUAAUAAAAAUAUAUUAAUUAAUUAAUUAAAUAUAA
rnacentral:lncRNA from 1 species